rnacentral:lncRNA from 1 species
AUGACAUCUUCAUUUUCUUCUACCCUUCAGUGGGCUGGAAGGCCAAGUCUCUCUGAUUAUAACUCAAGUGGACCCCAGGGGAGCCAGAGCUGGAGCAGGCUCACCAUCCCCACCUCAGUGAACAGUUCAAAGCACUGCAUCCCUCCUGGCACCAUCCUCAAUCUGCAAAUUCUCCUACAGUUUCUUGGGGAGACGUCAGCCCCAACCUCUCAGCAGCACUGAAUCCCUCUUUCAAUAUGGGUCGGCACUGAUAUUUCACGGCUGACCAUGAGGAAAUAAGUUGGCCAAAGACCACACUGGCAUGGAGUGAGAAUUCCAGGGAGAGCAGAGAGGAUAAGCUAGUCCCGAAGGCCUCCCCACGUGGGCAUCCAGGCUGGAGGCUCAGGCCAACAAAGCUUUCCUGGGAACCCCUCCCACACCAGGCUGAAAGGCGACUGAAGGCACAGUCUCUCGGGCCCCCUUCCAAAAGACUAGCAGCCCGAUGCCACACCUACACCACCCCCAGAAGCCCAGCUGGGAGGGACAGAGGGAAGCAGAGAGGAAGGAAGAGCACAUGUCAAACACCAGAGAAGUUUCAGGAAGCAAAGGGCCUAAUCAUGUCCUUAAUUAAAGUGCAGCUCCUGAAAAGUCUCCUCUGAAAUUGGACCAGCUCAAUUACCGUCUUGUCCUGACAACCCCCCUCCACCUUUCCUGGACCUCUUGCUCUAUAGCCUCUCAAAAGUCCAGCCUUCUCCAAAGUGAGAGCCCAUGGAGGCAUCUGCUGAAGACAAAGGCAAAACUGGCAUCUUGACUUGAAAACACUUGCAAGUCUCAGCCUGUGCACCAAAUACACAAAUUUUGGACCCCCACGUUCAUUCCCUACUGUGGUUGCUUCCUCUGUGGAGAUCGGCAACUCUGAGCAUCACUAGGGAGAGAGCGGGGCCACACUGGGGACAGCUGUGCCUGUAGAGACCUUGACAACUGACUCCCAUGCCCAACUUCCAUGGGAGGUGAAGUGUUUGCCAAAAUGCACCCAGCUAGCUCUCCACUAGUCUUACGAGGGGGAAGCCAGCUCUGUGGGUAAUCUCACAGAGUAUUUACAUCUGCUCUUAGAAUAAAGGAUAAACUCUGACCUUCUAAAAAUCGGUG